CGACUUCCGAUAAAUCUACACGCUGCUUUAUUUUAACUCUAAUCUGAUUAGGAUCUACUCAGUUUGGUAUUCUUAUGCAAAAUGUCAAAAAUUUUGAGUUAUUAUCCAUGAUGUUUACUCACCCCUGAGUAUAUGUAUAUGUCAAAAGUUUUCAACAGCAAUAUUAUCGGUUUCCGAAGAACAAUUGGUGUCGCUUUUUAUUCGUUGGCUAGCACCCAACAUCAGUAUUGCAGAGGAUUUGAAAACACCUUAAAGAUCUCUUCAAAAUGAACAACCGCAUGUUGUAUGUUCUACGAUGC